CCCCUCCCUCCAUGAUGAAUUUCCCUGAAAUGGAGUUAUGCACCAUAAAAUGAGGAAAAUGGCUCUUUCAAUGGACUGUAAUGACUUUGUUGUUGCUAGGAUGGAGGCCUUGUAGUGUGAUGUACAGAAAGACGGGCCAUUAUUUCAACAGGUUUCAUUUCACACUGGAUCCCUGUUUUGGUGUUGACCAUUACUUUAUAAUAAUUGAUGUCCUGUUCAUGGCAGAAAUGGAAUCUCUCUAUCUAUCUUUCUCUGUCUCACACACGCAGGCACGCUCUCUCAAAUAAGCACGCACUCGUUCUCGCGCUCUCUCGCUCUUACUCUCUAUUUCCCCUCUCCAAUUACUUUUUGCGGUUUUCCACAGAAGUUAAAGAAAUGCAAUGUCAGAUAAACAACUGAUGGCAAAUAUGAAGCAUUCUGCCAGAUAGACUACAAUGUGCAGAUUGCAGACGUGUACCGCGAGUGCAGUGUACCAGUGGCGCCAUCUACAAGGUGAGCAAAGAAGAAUUCGACACAGCUCCGGACUCUCUCUCGGAGGAAUACGGAGUGAGGAUUACACAGUUUCCUCAACGAAUCAGUUGUACUAUAGACAAUGUCGUGGAGGUAAAUUGACACCGAACCUACCUGAAUGUGGGCAGAGCCUGAGGCCUGAGUUAACAGAUCGCCUGCUGCUGCUGUGUGCGUGGCACGGAUCGUCAGUGACUGUCAUGGAGGAAGUGUGUGUGUUUGGCCUUUGAAGAGCUCUCAUCCAGCACAAAGUAGCCCGGUCCUCCCCCUCCACCCCAUCAUCCUCCCCACCCCCCUCUCCACAGCUAGCGACAGACCCCGGACAAUAGUCUCUCCAAGAUUUAUGAGGCCUGGCUCUUUGUCAAUAAGAGGAGUUUUAUUUCACCACUUUUUUUUUCUCUUGUCUUCUUCCUCUGAAAAAGGUGUGGGACCCAACUGUGAAAUGGGAGACGGCUGUUUGACAUGUGAAGCCCACCUGGAGAAAAUGUCUGCUUUCAGGCCUGGAUAUAAGGAAUUACUCAACAAGAAGGAAACGUCACUGUAGGGAAUGUCGUUUUCCCUCUUCCCUUCUCAUUAACAACAACAUGUC
rnacentral:lncRNA from 1 species